GAUGAACGCUGGCGGCGUGCCUAAUACAUGCAAGUCGAGCGAACAGACGAGGAGCUUGCUCCUCUGACGUUAGCGGCGGACGGGUGAGUAACACGUGGAUAACCUACCUAUAAGACUGGGAUAACUUCGGGAAACCGGAGCUAAUACCGGAUAAUAUAUUGAACCGCAUGGUUCAAUAGUGAAAGACGGUUUUGCUGUCACUUAUAGAUGGAUCCGCGCCGCAUUAGCUAGUUGGUAAGGUAACGGCUUACCAAGGCAACGAUGCGUAGCCGACCUGAGAGGGUGAUCGGCCACACUGGAACUGAGACACGGUACAGACUCCUACGGGAGGCAGCAGUAGGGAAUCUUCCGCAAUGGGCGAAAGCCUGACGGAGCAACGCCGCGUGAGUGAUGAAGGUCUUCGGAUCGUAAAACUCUGUUAUUAGGGAAGAACAAAUGUGUAAGUAACUAUGCACGUCUUGACGGUACCUAAUCAGAAAGCCACGGCUAACUACGU
rnacentral:rRNA from 1 species